UAGAGAGGACCAGAGUGACUGGUAGGGUCUGGUAGAGAGGACCGGAGUGACUGGUAGGGUCUGGUAGAGAGGACCGGAGUGACUGGUAGGGUCUGGCUGGUGGUAGAGAGGACCAGAGGGACUGGUGGGGUCUGUCUGGUGGAUGAGAAAUAUGAACACUUAAUCUGUUGGCCUUGCUGAUUCUGCUCUCUGCCUCUCUCUUCAUAGCCAUUACCACAUCUCUCAGGGCCAGGAUGGGGACUGUGUGUGUGUGUGUGUGUGUGUGUGUGUGUGUGUGUGUGUGUGUGUGUCUGUGUCUGUGUCUGUGUGUGUGUGUGUGUGUGUGUGUGUGUGUGUGUGUGUGUGUGUGUGUGUGUAUAGCUGACAGGGAAGAUAUCAGGGCUGGUGGUUGUUUGUGCCAGGAUCUGGUCUUAUAGCACAACAUUAAUCACACCCCUCCUCUCCACUACUCUCCCCUCCCCUCCUCUGCAUAAUAUCCCCACCUUUCAUUGAUAUGCUUUACGACCACUCUUGUAAAGUUGUGGCAGAAGAUACAUAUUUUAUAACCUCAUAGCCAAGUUAUGAUUAUGUUUGGAAUGGGCUGGGUGAGUUGUAGGAGACUGAAUACACACAGCAGAGCUUUGGCAGGUGUUGAGAUGUUCACCAUUCAGACCUGAAUGAAUAAGGUUUCUCAUGUUAUAAAUGAGAUGUUCACCAUUCAGACCUGAAUUAAUAAGGUUUCUCGUGUUGUAAAUGAGAUGUUCACCAUUCAGACCUGAAUUAAUAAGGUUUCUCAUGUUAUAAAUGAGAUGUUCACCAUUCAGACCUGAAUUAAUAAGGUUUCUCAUGUUGUAAAUGAGAUGUUCACCAUUCAGACCUGAAUGAAUAAGGUUUCUCGUGUUGUAAAUGAGAUGUUCACCAUUCUGACCUGAAUGAAUAAGGUUUCUCGUGUUGUAAAUGAGAUGUUCACCAUUCUGACCUGAAUGAAUAAGGUUUCUCGUGUUGUAAAUGAGAUGUUCACCAUUCUGACCUGAAUGAAUAAGGUUUCUCGUGUUGUAAAUGAGAUGUUCACCAUUCUGACCUGAAUGAAUAAGGUUUCUCGUGUUGUAAAUGAGAUGUUCACCAUUCAGACCUGAAUGAAUAAGGUUUCUCGUGUUGUAAAUCACUUUGACUCUGAAUUUGUGUUAUAUUUUGCAGGGUGUUGGUGGAUCUCCUGGCGGAUCAGGAAGAGAUGGACCAGUUGGACAGAGGGUAACAGUCUAUUCAUUUUGUUUGACUUACAGAUUCAUUAUUUCCAUGAUGUUUUGUAUGUACAUUUUGUUUGUACGACCUGCUCAAAGCCUGAGCGCCCUGAGCUCUUUAGCUCAAUUUUAAAUAUUAAAG
ensembl:lncRNA